rnacentral:misc_RNA from 1 species
ACAAACUUGGUCAUUUAGAGGAAGUAAAAGUCGUAACAAGGUCUCCGUAGGUGAACCUGCGGAGGGAUCAUUAAUCGACGAAGUGCGUAGCUAGACGCCCGGCCGUUCUCGACCCCCCGGCAACCCCGGGGGGGCGGCCGAUCAGCGUGCUCAGUUACCAGGCCACUCACCGGAGCGCGCCCCUGCGGGGGUAGCGUGGGGAGGGGAGAGCUCCCGCUAAGGUUGUAGCCGACCCCGUUUGUACCUGCGCCCGUGAUGGUCGGAUCUUCAUCAAAACCCUUUGUUGUCCGACUCUGUUGCCUCGGGGGCGACCCUGCCCUUCAUUGGGCUCGGGGGACCCCCGGUGGACAUUAACCAAACUCUUGCGUAUCUUUGUCGUCUGAGUGAUUUUAUAAAUCAAAUUAAAACUUUCAACAACGGAUCUCUUGGUUCUGGCAUCGAUGAAGAACGCAGC